rnacentral:sRNA from 1 species
GCCUCAGGCUAUGGGACCCAGAACAUUCGACUGAGCCGGGAUGCCGUGAAGGACUUCGACUGCUGUUGUCUCUCCCUGCAGCCUUGCCACGAUCCUGUUGUCACGUGAGCUGGGAACAGGGAUGGCCCAGAUGGCUACCUGUAUGAGCGUGAGGCCAUCCUGGAGUACAUUCUGCACCAGAAGAAGGAGAUUGCCCGGCAAAUGAAGGUGAUGGGGAUGGGGAGAAGGAGGCACAGGGAGGCAGGAGCUUUUGAGUCUGAGCUCACAGGCAGAGCCACUCAGAGCCCUCCGAUCUCAGUUCCCUCUGCCUGGUACACCAUUCCCCUUCUGCUUCCGGCCAAAUCCUCCUCACCAAUUUCAGCCCAGGUGCUGCCUCCUCUGAGCUCCUGCCAGUCCCCUGGAUCUACCCCAGUCACCUCUUCUCUUAGCACUUGGCAUAGUUGUAACUCUACAUGUGGCUGUCUGACACACGCCCACUUUCCCUUCUGGACUUCGAGUUUUCCCCCCCUGUGGCUUAGGUCCUUAGUAAAGAUGUGCUAAAUGGGUUGGGGGUGGUGGCUCACACCUGUAAUCCCAGCACUUUGGGAGGCCGAGGCAGGCGGAUCACUUGAGGUCAACAGUUAGAGGCCAGCCUGGCCAACACGGUGAAACCCUGUCUCUACUAAAAAU